GAUAAAAAUCAAAAUUUAAUUUUUCUCUAAAUAAAUGUCAAUGUAAAUUGAAGAAAAUCAGAUUAAAAAAAAAAUCGAAAAAUACAUUUUUAUAGUACUAUAAAAACGGUGAUACACACUGUUUAAUCUAUAUAGUUCUUGUGUGCAAUAACUAUACAAAUAUAUGGUAUAUUUUAUGAAUGACAAUUGUUAUAAAAUAUUACUAAACGUACAGUUUUACUAUCUCGUUGGAAUUCAUAAUAAUAAUAUUAAUACUGCGUUUCAUUGACAAACGUUGGUUUCCUCCGCCCCGUUGUGUAUAUAACACAAUAAUGUAUGACGUACAAUAUUAUUCAAUAAUCAAUGUGACAGAGAUUAUUGGCAGUCCAUAACCUAUAUCAAAUAAUUUACAAUGUAAUAUGAAUAUUAUAAAUUAGUUUAUAUUUUUAGAUCAAAUUUAAAUAAAUAUAAGAACU